ACGCUGGCGGCAUGCUUUACACACGCAAGUCGAACGGCAGCGCGGGGCAACCUGGCGGCGAGUGGCGAACGGGUGAGUAAUAUAUCGGAACGUACCCAAGAGUGGGGGAUAACGUAGCGAAAGUUACGCUAAUACCGCAUACGAUCUAAGGAUGAAAGCAGGGGACCGCAAGGCCUUGUGCUCCUGGAGCGGCCGAUAUCUGAUUAGCUAGUUGGUAGGGUAAAGGCCUACCAAGGCUACGAUCAGUAGCUGGUCUGAGAGGACGACCAGCCACACUGGAACUGAGACACGGUCCAGACUCCUACGGGAGGCAGCAGUGGGGAAUUUUGGACAAUGGGCGCAAGCCUGAUCCAGCAAUGCCGCGUGAGUGAAGAAGGCCUUCGGGUUGUAAAGCUCUUUUGUCAGGGAAGAAACGGCCCCAGCUAAUAUACUGGGGUCUAAUGUACGGUACCUGAAGAAUAAGCACCGGCUAAC
rnacentral:rRNA from 1 species